GCUGCUUUCAGUCUCUGUUUGUAAAAGAUCAAGACCCACCCUGGGUCAUACCUUACUGAAGCAAUCCAAAGGCCUUCUCCCCCUGGAAAUGAAUCCAAGUCGAUCAAAGUGUCCCACACCCACAGGAAUGGAUUAGCUCCAAGAACAUGAUCUUUUCUGGGGUCUAUAGAAAGCUUCAAACUGUCACAACAUAUAAAGGGUUAUCUCUUGUGAAAGUAAAUAUUAUCUGAUUUUGUCUGAGAUUAUAGAUAUUCCUAAAAGAAGACUUCCUGUAAGAACUGAGAUUUAGGGAUGACCCUUGAAGGUGGGAGGAAGCAGCUUAAAAACUCUGGAGUUUUACAUGAAGAGAGAAAAUUCUUAUGGAAAGUCGGCAACUCACCACAUGCCCCACCAAUUUUCCUGUUCUCAGAGGAUUGUGCUGAUCCCUGAAAAGCUCCUUACUCUGCUCUCAGGCCCCUAAGGAGAGGAAGAAUUUCCUUUGAUGAAAGUGAGAAGAAAGAAACUCUACACCUCAAGCUUCCAGGGCUGUUUUUUCUAUCAAUUGUUUUUCAAGGAUACGGGAAGAACCAAGUUCUUUCACAGGACUUUUUGGGUUUCUAGUGGGCCUGAAUUCACUUGACAGCUUCAAGAGUCUGAAAUUAUGGCUGGACAGCUUUCCAUCUCUAAGACUGAUCCCUUUAUCUGUUACACAAUGGGUAUUAAUAUGUGCCUUUAGUAAUGAUGAGGUACUUGGUGGAUGUGCCUUUCUUCUUUGAGAAUAAAAUUACCAAAAGACCUUAAUCUUAUCCUGU
rnacentral:lncRNA from 1 species